GCGGGCGGGGCGCGGAGCUGGUUGCCGGGGCGGCGGAUGGCGGCGGCUCCUCGAUGGCGGCGGGGCUGAGCGCGGAUCCUGCACCGGCGGCCGGGACGCGGGGACUCCCCCUUCGGUGCGGGGAGGCCCAGUCCUCGGGAAAAAGGGGGAGAGAGAGAGAGGCUGAUACUGAAGCCAACCAGCUGCACGUCUGAGUGGGAAACUCCGGACUGAUCUCAUGGCUUGCUUUUUAUUUCGUUAAUACUUCACUAUCUCUGAAAAUGAAUCUUUUGUGAAGCUCUUCUCCUAACUCCCCUUAUUCCUCUUUCACGAGGUGGCUGCUGCGGUGCAAGGGAAGGAAUGGCAUGAAGUAAAUGACUCCAGUACAAAGCAAUCUGCUUUGCCCAAAUGCCCAGUGGGCAGCACUGUCACUUUAAUAAUUCCAGGUCAAGGGAUUGCUUUCCUCGUUUUCAAUCCUCUCUUUUAAUACAUGGGAGGAUCAGAGGGACAUUAAAGACCGUAAGGCUGGGUGGCUUGCUGAUAAUAAAAAUGAAAGUGUCUGCCCAGUGACUUCUGUUGGAGCAUCACAAGUCCAACCCAAGGGAACAGCAAGUAUUCACAGAAAUGAAGAUUGAAGCUGCAUUUCCUUACUGAACUGUAAAAGUGUUCUGCAAUAGAUAGUCAGUUCCUGACCUUGCAGAGUGUUCCAGUAGUACUUCGUUAGUACCUGUAAAUAAGUGCUUGCCACCAGAUUCAGAAGUAGGAAGAAGAAUGCCAGUCAAGAAGAAAGAUACUGACCGAGCUUUAGUACUGCUGGAAGAAUAUUGCAAAAAACUGCGGAAGCCAGAAGAGCAACAACUGAAAAAAGCCAUCAGAAAGGUGAUGGGCAUCUUUAAGAGCAGCUUGUUUCAGGCACUCCUAGAACUGGAUACAGAGGUGUGCAUUCUUACGAGGAAUGAGGUGAACAUAAAAUUAUGUGCCAACUCUCACAACUUCAGUGGAAUUUGGUUCCUUUAGAAAUAAAUUUAUCCAUUGUAACCA
rnacentral:lncRNA from 1 species